rnacentral:rRNA from 1 species
UCGAGCUUGCUCCUUUGACGUUAGCGGCGGACCCUUGAGUAACACGUGGGCAACCUACCCUAUAGAUUGGGAUAACUCCGGGAAACCGGGGCUAAUACCGAAUAAUCUCUUUUACUUCAUGGUGAAAGAUUGAAAGACGGUUUCGGCUGUCACUAUAGGAUGGGCCCGCGGCGCAUUAGCUAGUUGGUGAGGUAACGGCUCACCAAGGCGACGAUGCGUACCGACCUGAGAGGGUGAUCGGCCACCUGGGAUGAACACGGCCCAGACUCCUACGGGAGGCUCAUAGGGAAUCUUCCACAAUG